UAGAACUUCUAAAACACCGCAUAGGUUUUAUUAACAAUGGUUUACUUUUACAACUAUAAAAAUCUUGUUAACCAUUUAAAGGAGAACAAAGCUCAUUUUGUAGAUUUCCGAAAUUUGUAUUUCCGGUUUUACUUCCGGUUUUAAAAUGCCAAAUAACUCCUUAUUUGUUGGUCUGUCAAAAAAAGAUUCACAUUUUCGUGAUCACUCGUCAAAUUUGGGGUCGACUCCAUGGGUCAGCUCAAAAUACCCGAAAAUCGUCAAAAAUUGCAAAUUUUCCUGAGUCAUAGAAUAUAUUUUCAUGUUGACAUGACAAAGACGUAUCUUAUGUGACAGUUUGGAUGACGGUGACUGGGGCAGGCAAGCCUGUGAGAGGUAAACUUUUGUUAAAAUUGACUGCGAUUUAAUGUGAAAAAGGCUCUGGAGGAAGAUAGAUGUUGUAUUAUGUAGCAGUUGAUGCCGGGUGUUCAAGUGAGGGUGGCGCCAUUGGUGGCGUGGCAGCUGGCAAAAAUUUGGCCAAAAGUGAAAAAGGGGGAAGGGUAUAAGGUAUAUAGCCUUCCCACUUUUGUCAAAAUCUGCAAAACGACAUCUCUUGAAAUUUGACGAAAAAUUACCUUUCGAAUUACCUGGUACAACACAAUCACCACACCAGCGCCACACCAGCGCCACCUGGUACCCACGGGGCAAUAGGCGUGACCCAUCAGUAAAAUUCCAGACAGGUAUGUGUGCAUUGUGCUGUCGUUAAUAAUCACAAAGAAUCCAUGAUUUUUUAAUCGACUGUGACGAAUCCAUUGCCUAAGAAAAGUUCUGAGUUCCGCAAAAAGCAAACAAGACUGCCGGGGAAAACUCAUCAAAACGAAAUGUAAGAAAUCAUUUGAACGGUAAAGGAUAGUUACACAUUAUUUUUCCAUCAGUUUCUAUUUGCUGUCAGUUUAUGUUUUCUUUCCUUUAGGUAUGGCCCCUAUCAGUAACAUUACAGUGUAAUACAUAAACACACAUCAAACAAUAGGAUAACAUUUUAAUUUGAAGUUGUUGAAACUUUUACUCUUCGUUCUGAUCUGCACAAGGUUGGCUUCUUGUAAACAAGCCUGCAAUCACCUAUGAACAAAUUAUGCAGUAUGAAAAGCUCAUUCCUUAGAAAAAUUUGUGGCUAUGGAAUUGCUCGAGAUUACUCUUAGGGCAAAAAUGUUCUCCUGCUUCAUGGAUCAAGAAAAAUUGGUUGUCGUGAUGUCUGAUAUCAACUAAGUGUCAUUGGAAAGAUAGGAAAAAGAUAUUUAAGGCAAUACAUAGAAUUCUAAAAGUUGGAGUGUCUUACCUGUUUAUCUUGCUCCAAGAACAUAUUGCAGUGCCUUUAUUGUGUCAUGCUUUCAUAACUGAGGAGUAUUGGAGGAGGAGAGGAGAUGUAUUGAGCUUUAUGGCUACCGAAAUAUUUGAUUAAAAUCUUCAUAUAUAUCGGUUUAUUAGAUAUAUUGUAAUGCUUUCACAUUUUAAACUUAACUCUUUUGGGUAUCGAUCCCCAAACUUUCGGCGUGCAUUGCCGAUUCUCAACCGUUGAGCCAUGAGUUAUAUUUGAUUCUGUACUGAUGUUAGAAGGCCCGAAAAGAUAUUAAAGGCAAUUCGUAAAACUAUAUGCUAACCUGAAUAAAUGUUUUAUAAGGAUCAUA